GAGUUUGAUCCUGGCUCAGGACGAACGCUGGCGGCGUGCUUAACACAUGCAAGUCGAGCGAGAUUUCAAGAAUUAGUUUACUAAUUCUUGAAUGACAGCGGCGGACGGGUGAGUAACGCGUGGGCAACCUGCCCUGUGGAAAGGGAUAGCCUCGGGAAACCGGGAUUAAUACCUUAUAACAUUAACUUUUCGCAUGAAAAGUUAAUCAAAGAUUUAUUGCCACAGGAUGGGCCCGCGUCCCAUUAGCUAGUUGGUGAGAUAAUAGCUCACCAAGGCGACGAUGGGUAGCCGACCUGAGAGGGUGAUCGGCCACAUUGGGACUGAGACACGGCCCAAACUCCUACGGGAGGCAGCAGUGGGGAAUAUUGCGCAAUGGGGGAAACCCUGACGCAGCAACGCCGCGUGAGUGAAGAAGGUUUUCGGAUCGUAAAACUCUGUCUUUGGGGAAGAAUAAAUGACGGUACCCAAGGAGGAAGCCCCGGCUAACUACGUGCCAGCAGCCGCGGUAAUACGUAGGGGGCAAGCGUUGUCCGGAAUUAUUGGGCGUAAAGGGCGUGUAGGCGGUAUCGUAAGUCAGAUGUGAAAGUCUGAGGCUCCACCUCCAAAUUGCAUCUGAACAUGCAAUACUUGAGUACUGGAGAGGUAAGUGGAAUUCCUAGUUUAGCGGUGAAUGCGUAGAUAUUAGAGGGACACCAGUGGCGAAGGCGACUUACUGGACAGUUACUGACGCUGAGGCGCGAAAGCGUGGGGAGCAACNAGGAUUAGAUACCCUGGUAGUCCACGCCGUAAACGAUGAAUGCUAGGUGUUGGGGAGACUCAGUGCCGCAGUUAACACAAUAAGCAUUCCGCCUGGGGAGUACGGUCGCAAGACUGAAACUCAAAGGAAUUGACGGGGGCCCGCACAAGCAGCGGAGCAUGUGGUUUAAUUCGAAGCAACGCGAAGAACCUUACCAGGUCUUGACAUCCCCUGACGACCCUAGAGAUAGGGAGUUCCCUUCGGGGACAGGGUGACAGGUGGUGCAUGGUUGUCGUCAGCUCGUGUCGUGAGAUGUUGGGUUAAGUCUCGCAACGAGCGCAACCCUUGUAUUUAGUUGCCAUCAGGUAAUGCUGGGCACUCUAGAUAGACUGCCGUAGAUAAUACGGAGGAAGGUGGGGAUGACGUCAAAUCAUCAUGCCCCUUAUGACCUGGGCUACACACGUGCUACAAUGGCCUGAACAGAGGGAAGCGAGAUAGCGAUAUGGAGCGAAUCCCACAAAUCAGGUCUCAGUUCGGAUUGCAGGCUGCAACUCGCCUGCAUGAAGUCGGAGUUGCUAGUAAUCGCGGAUCAGAAUGCCGCGGUGAAUGCGUUCCCGGGACACUUGUACACACCGCCC
rnacentral:rRNA from 1 species